UUUUUUGUAUCCAAAGGUGGAAAUUGAGGUCAGAAUCGAAACAGAUACAUUAACUAAAUGAAGGGUUCAAGAAAUUUUGCCCUUUUUUCAACGGAAGUUAGAAUAAAUAUUCAUCUCUAUGAAGGAUGGACCUUUUUAGAGUCAGAAGAAACAGCUUUAAGUGCAGUUUUCAUUGAAGAAGAAGCUGAUUUUGCUGCAGCCUCAAUAUACUUAUUUGAAGUAAAAGUGGCUGCCUUUUCUAAUGAUUUGCUUGUUUUUCUUGCAAUCUUAGCUUCAUUCACCAAGCUGUCAUGCUCGGCCAUGGCCAUCCUAUUCAUUUCCUCCUCAAAAAGACGAUGUUCUUCCAUGGCACUUUCCAUUACAGAAUCCAAAUAGUCCUUAGUUUUCUUCAUGUAAUUUUCAGCUUCUUCUACUUCUUUUUCUUGCUCGAGCUCGACUCUAGCCCAAACCUUGUAAGCCUCUACUUCAAAGAGUCUGAUGAUAUUUU
rnacentral:lncRNA from 1 species